UAGAAAAGGAUGAGAAGAAGUUUACAGAAAUGUAAAAUAUGAAACCAGAAUCAAUGUCUGAAAAUAGAUAUCGAUUCGUGAAACCACUCUCUGGCAGAGACAAAGAAAUGGAAAGGAAACAAAGGCCACAAUUUGACAAUUAAGUCCUUCAAUGGUAUAUUGCUUGUGAAGGGGAAGGAAUUCCUUAUGCUUCAAUUUGGGUUCCAGAAUAGUGCUAGAAAGGUGUCAUUCUUUGUCCAGAUAGCAACAUAAGGAUCCAUUGUAACAGCAGUAAUCUAACAGUUUGUGCUAGUUGGCGUUCUGUGCGCGUGAAGGCAGAGCAAGAUGUAACAUUAAUCAAUUGAUGCUAUAAUGUCCACCUACAUAAAAGUCAUGGUGUACAGCUAAGUUGCUCCGACACAGCAGAUUAGGUGCCGCACCUGUUGACGUGACACUAGUAUGGGUGUGGGUAUAGGAUCCGUAACGGAUCUGGUCAAACAAUUUUGGGUACUUUGACAACAACGGACGGAAAAAUUCGAGAUGAGAUACAAUUUGAUUCCCGAAAUCAGAAGUAAAACUAGGGUAAAUUUGAAGAAAAUAGCAUACUUUAUUUGCGAAAUCAAUCCUUUACUUAUCUAUAAUUUGAGAAUAAAAAAACAUCCACACUUUACAAGCUAUACGUAGCGCUAAAGGCGUGUAGCGAGGCGAGGCGAGGCUUUAACGCCACAAAGGGCACUGUUGCGUGGCGAGGAAGAAAAGCGUGCGCCACAGCUUUUGUGGCGAGGCGAGGCGCGUGGCGAUGCGAGGCGUCGCUAUUUUGAUAAUACAAAAAAAUUAAAACACAGCAGUCCUUCUGUUGCUCCAGUCGACAAAAUUAGGCUUCAUUCACUCCAUCUUCUUCUUCUUCCAUCGUCUGCGACAGCACCAGCCAGGUAUGUUCUUCACUUCUUCUUUCUUCUUUUCUCUUUCUCGACUCGACCAGAUUUUUUUUUGCUUUCUUUCUUAUUUCUUCUUUCUUCUUUCUUCUUUUCUCUUCUCGACUCGACCAAACUCUCCGUUUUAUUUUCUUUCUUCUUUCUUCUUUCUUCUUUCUUCUUUCUUCUUUCUUCUUUCUUCUUCUUCUUUCUUCUUUUCUCUUUCGCGACCAGCACUAUGUGCUCUGCUUUCUGCGACCAGCACUGUCCAGUGCUCUGUUUUUCGAAACUCUGUUUUUCUUUCUUUCUUCUUUCUUCUUUCUUCUUUCGCGACCAUCACUGUGUCCAGGCAGCAACAACUCUGUUUUUCGCGACCAGAGCCAGACUAUGCUCUGUUUUUCGCGACCAGAGCCAGACUAUGCUCUGUUUUUCGCGACCAGAGUAUGCUCUGUUUUUCGCGACCAGCACUGUGCAGUGCUCUGUUUUUCGCGACCAACACUGUCCAAUGCUCUGUUUUUCGGUCCAGGCAGCAACAACUCUAUUUUUCGCGACCAGAGCCAGACUAUGCUCUGUUUUUCGCGACCAGCACUGUCCAGGCAGCAGCAACAGCAACUCUUUUUUUCGCGACCAGACUAUGCUCUAUUUUUCUUCUUUCGAAGAGCACCUGCACAGAUAAAACAAGAAAAAUUAAUCUGCAAUUCUGCUAAAUUAAUCUAUUGAGUUUUUAAUUUUUAAAUUGAUAUAUUUACUAUUAACAUAUUAUUGUAAUUGAGUUUUUAGUUUUAUAUAUAUAUAUAUAUAUAUAUAUAUAUAUAUAUAUAUAUAUAUAUAUAUAUAGUUUUAUAUAAAAUAUUUUAUUUUUUUUGUAAAAAUUGUCGCCUCACAUAAAAAAGGCGAGCGCUUCGUUGCGCGCCUCUCGCCUCACUGAAGCGAGCCCUCGUCGCUAUUUGUCGCCGCGUGCUAUCAAAAACAUUAAUUUAGAGAUAUUUUUAUAUUUUUGAAUUAUUUUUAGCCGGAUCCCACACCCGUAUCCGUACUAGGAUCCGUAUCCUUGAAUCUUAGAAUUUACGUCUCGAAGGAUCCGACCUCUAGAUCCGCACCCGUGUCCGAGCAACUUAUGUGUACAGUGUGAAACAUGUUUGGAAUUAGAUGGUGGCACAAAGUAGAGAGCUAUCAGUCUAUCACUUUGGUUGGAAGUGUAGAAGCAGAAAAUACAAAAGAUGAGCAUUUUGGACCUGAUUUGGACCGCAUGGAAAGAAACAAAUGUGAUGUUAAUAGAAUAUUUUUAAUUUCUCUACAGUUUUGGUACAGAUUUGGUAGGGCGGACUCAUAGAGGAUUGGAUGUUAUAGAGAAUCAUGUUCCUGUGCAGGAUUCUAUUUAAUGUUUACAUUUUUUAGGUAGUUAAGGAAAAAUUUCUUACCAAGGAAAAAAAAAUACAGACGAAAUGAAAAACCCCUAAAACUGGACACAGUUUUAGAAACACCGGCCUCAGAGUCUCCAACUAGCUACAAACAUCAUGAAACUACAGCUGAUAUUGGCUAAUCUAUUUAAUGUUUACAUUACGAUUUACAUAGCCUUUUAUCUUUACACAGAAAAAUGGCAAUCCAAAUAAAAAAUUAAGCCACAAAAAAAGAUCGGGUUUAUUUACAGAUAGCUAAGAGCCUGACUUUAAAGAAAACAUUUUGAUCACUUUCUCUCAAUUAAUCUACUAUUACUAUUUUCCAGCGAUUUGGCUUCUUAGACAAUUGAAGAGAACCGAACUAGAUCUAUUUUCACUGUUUGUGUAGUCUUUUUUUUAUUUGCACCGCGUAUCCGAGUCUCUUCAAGCCCGACUAAUCUCGGGGAUGCACAGGCCCUUGGCAAGGAGUUUCUCGCAAGUGCACCACGGUUAAUUCAGGUUUUACCCAGUCUGAUGAUCCUCAGAAAUGUUUGCACCCAGUGGGUUUCAAACUUGAGGCCUUGAAAGGGAGCAAACCCCAAGGCUCAAGUCAAUUGCCACCAGGCCAACCCCGGUUGUUAAUUAGUCUUUUUCUUCUUUUGUUACUCAAUCUACUACUUUUCUUCAUCACUCUUCCUCUUUCUUGGUGCUUUUGCCGGUUCUUCCAUCUUUUUAUGAUGGAAAAUAUGAUACUUAUGUGAAUUACCAUGUUUCUGCGGCCUAAAAGGUCAAAAUUUCUUAAAAGGAUAUGUUAUUUAUAGUUUUCAUGUUCAGUUUGAAAUAGAGAUGCUACAAAUGAUUAAUAGAAAUCAACUCCCAAAUAAAUUACUUAGGUAAUGCUAGAAGUUGGAACAUUUUAUAUCAUCUCUACAAUAGAAUUGAUUAUUUUGUAAAUUAUGAGUCACAAUCCUGAGUGAAUAAUAUAAACUAAUGCCAGUUGAUUAUUUGGUUGAAGAAACUCAAGCUUUUUAUUUCCAGUAUCAAAUUUAAAGCAUAACCAUAAGUCAGUUUAUGCAACUCGGAAAACUGCAAGUUGAUGCCUUCUGUGAUAAAGGAGAGCACGUGUGAACUUUAACUAAAGGAUUGUAAUGUAGAUAUAUGUAUUCACUACAUCAGUAUUCAAUUUACAAGCUUGUGCAUGAACCAUAUUUGUAGCGUCAAUUUUAUAUUUCAGCUUUAUUUUCAAACAAAAUGAUGUAAUAUUAGUUGUUUAUAUUAAUUAGGAGCUUGUUCUUUAUGCACAAAAAUCAUUUUUAUAUUUCAGCUUUAUUUGCAAAAGAUAAUGUAAUAUUAGUUGUUUAUAUUACUUAGGAGCUUGUUCUUUAUGCACAAAAAAUUGAGCAAAGACGUGGAUCAUCCUCCUAUGUUGUCAGGUGACGAUUCGCUUACGGCGGGAGAAUUUGAGAUGGUUAGGACUAAAGGGACGAUGCCGAGCACAGUGAAUGAGCCACUAUGCAGUUGGGGCUGAGUAAGACCAGGCGAAGGAUGUGGGAUGUUGCCCCAGUAGCACUCAUGUGGGUC
rnacentral:lncRNA from 1 species